rnacentral:rRNA from 1 species
AAUGAGCCUGCGAGUUGUGGUGUCUGGCAAGGUUAAGCAAACGCGAAGCCGUAGCGAAAGCGAGUCUGAAUAGGGCGCUUAGUCAGAUGCUGCAGACCCGAAACGAAGUGAUCUAUCCAUGAGCAAGUUGAAGCUAGUGUAAGAACUAGUGGAGGACUGAACCCAUAGGCGUUGAAAAGCCCCGGGAUGACUUGUGGAUAGGGGUGAAAGGCCAAUCAAACUUCGUGAUAGCUGGUUCUCUCCGAAAUAUAUUUAGGUAUAGCGUUGUGUCGUAAUAUAAGGGGGUAGAGCACUGAAUGGGCUAGGGCAUACACCAAUGUACCAAACCCUAUCAAACUCCGAAUACCUUAUAUGUAAUCACAGCAGUCAGGCGGCGAGUGAUAAAAUCCGUCGUCAAGAGGGAAACAACCCAGACUACCAGCUAAGGUCCCUAAAUCUUACUUAAGUGGAAAACGAUGUGAAGUUACUUAAACAACCAGGAGGUUGGCUUAGAAGCAGCCAUCCUUUAAAGAAAGCGUAAUAGCUCACUGGUCUAGUGAUUUUGCGCGGAAAAUAUAACGGGGCUAAAGUAAGUACCGAAGCUGUAGACUUGCGCACAACUUAGAUUAUUUAAGUUUAGAAUAUGAGAAACUAAGUUAUAUUUUUACUGAUUUUUAUAGAGUAAAGAUAGAAAUAAAACUUAGUAAAAUCAGUAAAAAUAUUCUUAGGCUAAAGUUAAGUAGUUUAAGUUGUGUGCAAGUGGUAGGAGAGCGUUCUAUUUGCGUCGAAGGUAUACCGGUAAGGAGUGCUGGAGCGAAUAGAAGUGAGCAUGCAGGCAUGAGUAGCGAUAAUUAAUGUGAGAAUCAUUAACGCCGUAAACCCAAGGUUUCCUACGCGAUGCUCGUCAUCGUAGGGUUAGUCGGGUCCUAAGUCGAGUCCGAAAGGGGUAGACGAUGGCAAAUUGGUUAAUAUUCCAAUACCAACAUUAGUGUGCGAUGGAAGGACGCUUAGGGCUAAGGGGGCUAGCGGAUGGAAGU